rnacentral:rRNA from 1 species
UACGGAAGGCAGCAGUGGGGAAUAUUGCACAAUGGGCGCAAGCCUGAUGCAGCCAUGCCGCGUGUAUGAAGAAGGCCUUCGGGUUGUAAAGUACUUUCAGUCGUGAGGAAGGUGUUAAGGUUAAUAACCUUAGCAAUUGACGUUAGCGACAGAAGAAGCACCGGCUAACUCCGUGCCAGCAGCCGCGGUAAUACGGAGGGUGCGAGCGUUAAUCGGAAUUACUGGGCGUAAAGGGCACGCAGGCGGUUAAUUAAGUUGGAUGUGAAAUCCCCGGGCUUAACCUGGGAAUGGCAUUCAAGACUGGUUAGCUAGAGUCUUGUAGAGGGGGUUAGAAUUCCAUGUGUAGCGGUGAAAUGCGUAGAGAUGUGGAGGAAUACCGGGUGGCGAAGGCGGCCCCUGGGACAAAGGACUGACGCUCAUGUGCGAAAGCGUGGGGAGCAAACGAGGAUUAGAUACC